rnacentral:rRNA from 1 species
UGCUAACAGGCGUCGAGUGGCGGACGGGUGAGUAACACGUGGGGACCUACCUGAUAGUAAGGGACAACAGUUGGAAACGACUGCUAAUACCUUAUACGCUCUUCGGAGGAAAGAUUUAUCGCUAUCAGAUUGACCCGCGCUAGAUUAGAUAGUUGGUGAGGUAAUGGCUCACCAAGUCUGCGAUCUAUAGCUGGUUUGAGAAGAUGAUCAGCCACAUUGGAACUGAGACACGGUCCAGACUCC